rnacentral:misc_RNA from 1 species
AAGGAUCAUUAUUGAAUGAACAUAGAGUUGGGUUGUAGCUGGCCUGCAAAGGCAUGUGCACACCUUUCUCUUUCAUCCACACACCCCUGUGCACUUGUGAGACGGAUGGCUUAUUGUUCCCCUUUUCAGUAAGGGGGCUUAGGUUUCCGUCUGCCAUUAUACAAACUCAUUUAUUUAAUUCGAAUGUAAUUGAUGUUAACACAUCCUAUAAUACUAAGUUUCAACAACGGAUCUCUUGGCUCUC